AUUCCACUCAGCGCAUUUCCUGUUGACAUCUUUGCACACCAAGCUGGACGCUGCCGUCCUGCACGGACAGCAGGGAGCCGGGAGCUCUAAAGGGUCCUUGCUGAUUCCCUGAGCACAGAAAGGGUUUGACCUUUAUGGCGGCCCUCCUUCCUGCCGCUUCCCCAGAACAGAAGCCAGAAUCAGGGCAGCAGAGCAGUGGAAUUCAGCACGGAGGUAGCUGCUGUUUCUCGUGGCCUCAGUCAGCUAGACAGCACCCUGCACAAGAUGGAGGCAGAGCCCUGAUGAACCAGAAAACUGCCCAGUGAGGGACAAGGUAGGGGCCGUCCAGAAAACUUACACAGCCAGCCAGAGCCAGGGCUGGGACAAAACACAGCUGCCGAGCAAAGGGACCCAGAGUGCCUUUCUAAGGGUGCCGGGGUAUCUGUCUCUGCCGGUUCUUCCGCAGCUGGGCAGGACCCCACAAAUGUUAGAGAUCAGAUUUUGACUUUGAUUCAAUUAACAUGGGCUGAACCGCUUUCCGUGCCCAGGGGACCGUGCUGGAGGAGCUACAGAUUGGCUCUGAGUUCAGCGCGCAGACCACACCCAGGGUUGCGGAAGACGAGCUUGGCUGUGGCCCCUCUCCCAGGGCUCUUCAGUUCGGAAGCAAAGACGUGGCAAGGCGAUACAGAAACAAACCCAGAGCGCCAGGCCAUGGAAAGGCCCCUGAAUUGCUAAACCAAAGCGAGGGCUUUCUGCUAGCUCAUUCCUUCCCUCUCCUCCCUCUUUUCCUUCUCUCCUGCCCCCUGCUGGGGCUCAGAAAGUGACACCCCACAAGUGCAGGGAGGGACCUUUCCAAGACUUACCUAAAGAAAGAGGAUCCACCCGAAGGGUCCCGUUACUCCCUCCCUGUCGUUUUCCAGAGCAGCCCCCGGAGUCAUCCGCCUACCCUCCACCCUCUGCUUUGUUACAGGCUACAGUCUCUCCUCUGGUCAUGUUCAUCUCCCCUAAAAACCAUUAUUCCUUCCUCCACCAAAAUUGUCUAGGGCCCCCACUCCCCUCUCCCUAUGAACAGGGCUUUGAGGUUGCAAGCGCCUGGAUUACUUCUUGGGUAAUGUGCAGGAGCCUCGUCACCUGAACACUGCUCAGCGUUUUUCUCCUGUUUGUGUUGUCAGUUUGUUUGAUAAACUCAAAUUAUUGAAGCUUCA